UACGUAGGGAGCAAGCGUUGUCCGGAAUCAUUGGGCGUAAAGCGCGCGUAGGUGGCCCUGUAAGUCCGUUGUGAAAGUCAAAGGCUCAACCUUUGAAAGCCGAUGGAUACUGCAGGGCUAGAGUCCGGAAGAGGCGAGCGGAAUUCCUGGUGUAGCGGUGGAAUGCGCAGAUAUCAGGAGGAACACCAAUAGCGAAGGCAGCUCGCUGGGACGGAACUGACACUGAGGCGCGAAAGCGUGGGGAGCGAACAGG
rnacentral:rRNA from 1 species